rnacentral:rRNA from 1 species
GAUGAACGCUGGCGGCGUGCCUAACACAUGCAAGUCGAGCGAAGCACUUACUUUAGAUUUCUUCGGAAUGAGGAAGAUUGUGACUGAGCGGCGGACGGGUGAGUAACGCGUGGGCAACCUGCCCUGUACAGGGGGAUAACAGACAGAAAUGACUGCUAAUCCCGCAGAAGCCCACAGCUUCGUUUGGAGCAGUGGGAAAAACUCCGGUGGUACAGGAUGGGCCCGCGUCGGAUUAGCUAGUCGGUACGGUCACGGCUUACCAAGGCGACGAUCCGGAGCCGACCGGGGAGGCGGCCCAGCCACAAUGGGACUGAGGCACGGCCCAAACUCCUACGGGAGGGUGGAGAGUGGAAUAUUACACUAGGGGGGAAACCCUGAUGAAGCGACGCCGCGUGAGCGAUGAAGUAUUUCGGUAUGUAAAGCUCUAUCAGCAGGGGAGAAAGUGACGGUACCUGACAAAGAAGCCCCGGCUAACUACGUG